UAAUUUAGCCACGUUCCUACAAAAUUCACGCUUCGCGAGAUACGUACAAGCACACGCGUCCAUCGAUUCGAUUCAACGUACGGAGAACGAAACGUACGUAAGUGUAGGAAUUACUCUACAAACUGGUUUCUAUAUCAUAAACGUAAACAACGAAAAAAUAUGUUUUUUAAAUAAACCUAUACGAACGUAUUUUACGUACGACGAACGUUUUUAUUUUUU